UACGUAGGGGGCAAGCGUUGUCCGGAAUCAUUGGGCGUAAAGAGCGUGUAGGCGGUCCGGUAAGUCCGCUGUGAAAGUCCAGGGCUCAACCCUGGAAUGCCGGUGGAUACUGUCGGGCUAGAGUCCGGAAGAGGCGAGUGGAAUCCUGGUGUAGCGGUGAAAUGCGCAGAUAUCAGGAGGAACACCGAUGGCGAAGGCAGCUCGCUGGGACGGUACUGACGCUGAGACGCGAAGCGUGGGGAGCAAACAGGAUUAGAAACCUCGUAGUCAGACCGAAGCCAUCUGUCAC
rnacentral:rRNA from 1 species